rnacentral:rRNA from 1 species
CUUGGGUUGUAAACCUCUUUUCUCAGGGAAGAAGCUCUGACGGUACCUGAGGAAUCAGCCUCGGCUAACUCCGUGCCAGCAGCCGCGGUAAUACGGAGGAGGCAAGCGUUAUCCGGAAUUAUUGGGCGUAAAGCGUCCGCUGGUGGCGAUUCAAGUCUGCUGUCAAAGCACGGGGCUUAACUCCGUUAACGCAGUGGAAACUGAAUAGCUAGAGUGCCGUAGGGGUAGAGGGAAUUCCCGGUGUAGCGGUGAAAUGCGUAGAGAUCGGGAAGAACAUCGGUGGCGAAAGCGCUCUACUGGACGGUAACUGACACUCAGGGACGAAAGCUAGGGGAGCGAAUGGGAUUAGAUACCCCAGUAGUCCUAGCUGUAAACGAUGGAUACUAGGUGUAGCUUGUAUCGACCCGAGCUGUGCCGAAGCUAACGCGUUAAGUAUCCCGCCUGGGGAGUACGCACGCAAGUGUGAAACUCAAAGGAAUUGACGGGGGCCCGCACAAGCGGUGGAGUAUGUGGUUUAAUUCGAUGCAACGCGAAGAACCUUACCAGGGCUUGACAUGUCCGGAAUCCCGGUGAAAGCUGGGAGUGCCUUCGGGAGCCGGAACACAGCUGGUGCAUGGCUGUCGUCAGCUCGUGUCGUGAGAUGUUGGGUUAAGUCCCGCAACGAGCGCAACCCUCGUCUUUAGUUGCCAGCAUUAAGUUGGGCACUCUAGAGAGUCUGCCGGUGACAAACCGGAGGAAGGUGGGGAUGACGUCAAGUCAGCAUGCCCCUUACGCUCUGGGCGACACACGUCCUACAAUGGUCGGGACAGAGGGCAGCGAACAUGCGAAGGCAAGCUAAUCCCAGCAAACUCGGCCUCAGUUCAGAUCGCAGGCUGCAACUCGCAUGCGUGAAGGAGGAAUCGCUAGUAAUCGCCGGUCAGAAUACGGCGGUGAAUCCGUUCCCGGGCAUUGUACACACCGCCCGUCACACCAUGGAAGCUGGCCACGCCCGAAGUCGUUACCCUAACCUUUCGGGGAAGGGGACGCCG